rnacentral:rRNA from 1 species
AGAGUUUGAUCAUGGCUCAGAGCGAACGCUGGCGGCAGGCCUAACACAUGCAAGUCGAACGAACUCUUCGGAGUUAGUGGCGGACGGGUGAGUAACACGUGGGAACGUGCCUUUUGGUUCGGAAUAACUCAGGGAAACUUGUGCUAAUACCGAAUGUGCCCUUCGGGGGAAAGAUUUAUCGCCAUUAGAGCGGCCCGCGUCUGAUUAGCUAGUUGGUGAGGUAAAAGCUCACCAAGGCGACGAUCAGUAGCUGGUCUGAGAGGAUGACCAGCCACACUGGGACUGAGACACGGCCCAGACUCCUACGGGAGGCAGCAGUGGGGAAUCUUGCGCAAUGGGCGAAAGCCUGACGCAGCCAUGCCGCGUGAAUGAUGAAGGUCUUAGGAUUGUAAAAUUCUUUCACCGGGGACGAUAAUGACGGUACCCGGAGAAGAAGCCCCGGCUAACUUCGUGCCAGCAGCCGCGGUAAUACGAAGGGGGCUAGCGUUGCUCGGAAUUACUGGGCGUAAAGGGCGCGUAGGCGGAUCGUUAAGUCAGAGGUGAAAUCCCAGGGCUCAACCCUGGAACUGCCUUUGAUACUGGCGAUCUUGAGUAUGAGAGAGGUAUGUGGAACUCCGAGUGUA